GAUCUUCAGCGCAUGGAGAUGAUCAGAUUGGCGCGCGGCGCAGCUUCUCGGGUAAAAAAAAUCUCUCCAACAUAUUACAUUGAUCCUUGAGAAGAGAAAUGGUUCUACUCUGUGGUUAUAUAAUGGGAGAAGAGAGGGGGGGCAUGUGUGCGAGCAAGGUGGGCCGAAAAUAAGCCUGUUUUGGCCAUGCAGAUGCACAUGCAUGACUUCCUCUCUCUGUUUUUUUUUUUGGCCAAGAUGACAACACCGAGGAGCAAGGAAGCUAGUCAGCUCCCAGAAGUUUCUCUGCUACAAUUGCGGUCGGGAGAGGUACGGGAUAGAAGCGAAGACAGGAUUGAACCAACAAUAAAGGCAGCGAACAUAAAAUUGGACGUCCUAUAAAUGCUGCUGCUGGUGGUACGGUGCAUGGUCUAAUGCAAGGAUGCUAUUUUGGCGCAGAGACUGCUUAUUCCGGCCUGGGAAGAAGUCCUGAAAGAAUUCGGUCACUCCUCGGACCCCGAUGAACGGGGACGUCUUAGCUGGCUGGUAUGGAACAAUAUAUUUUGCAAUGACGAUCUCUUUUUAGUCAUUUGACAGUAGAGGGCAUUAAAUUAUUGUGUUUUUACUGAAUAUAUAUAUGGAAUAUAUCGUAUCGUGUCUGUCUUAGCCCUUGCUACUGUAGAAGAUCUCUUAAUUUGCUGAUAAGCUGGAAAAAAUAUAGUGUAAGCACAUCAUUCUAUGUAUGUAUAUGUUAUCUCUCUACAUUAUGAUCUGACAAUAAUUCAGGUAGUACAUCAGUAUGGCAGGGUUGGACACAUUAUCAAGCUAGGGCGGGAGGGAGACGACUUACAAUGCACAAGGCAUCUGGGAUGGCCAUGGCGGCUGCGUCCUCCUCGAACAACAUCAUCAUUAUUUGUAUACGAUGGUACCAGAGCCGCUCGAUCAAUAAUGGAGGCUGGGGGAGAGUGGAGGGUUGAUGGUGUCCCCCAUGGAGAACGCAUGAGCUCGAUACUUAUAUAUGCGGAAGGGAGAACAAGAACAACUGCACGGGCAUCUUUUUUUUUAUUUUUAUGUUUUUCUCUCCCUAACCUUUUGCUAUAAUUGGGUGGUGCCGUUGGUGAGACGAACCGAGCCGACAAACAACAGCCUAGCCUGGUGGCGCUCGAUGGAGUUUUUGGCGUUUACUACUCAUAUAUGGUGCAUAUAUUCAUGCGUGAGAGUACGCAAGUAGCUAGGUAGAUGUGACUGUUGGAUUAGUGCAGCUGAUUACUGUCGUAUGUGAUUACUACCUAGCUAGCCCGGCCGUACUGGCAAGCGCUACUAAAGAUACAGUACAGAGAGACAAGGUCGAGCCGACACCGGGGGGUUGGAUUGGAAUCUGGUCGGGUAGAGUCGAUCAGCUUUGGGUCACCUCAUGUCUCUCUGAGGCCGCUGCCUGCACUGCACGUAUGGGUAGUCGACACAUAUAUCUUCAUCCUCCCGGCCCCCAAGAUCUCCAUUUGAAGCGGUAACAUGCAUGCUAGCUAGCGGUACUAGUCCUAUAUAUGAGGCUUUCGCUAGGUAGCUAUAGCCAUAUAUAUACGAUCGGCAGGGC
rnacentral:lncRNA from 1 species